rnacentral:rRNA from 1 species
UACGUAGGGUGCGAGCGUUGUCCGGAAUUAUUGGGCGUAAAGAGCUCGUAGGCGGUUUGUUGCGUCUAUCGUGAAAACCUGCAGCUUAACUGUGGGCUUGCGGUGGAUACGGGCAGACUUGAGUUCGGUAGGGGAGACUGGAAUUCCUGGUGUAGCGGUGAAAUGCGCAGAUAUCAGGAGGAACACCGGUGGCGAAGGCGGGUCUCUGGGCCGAUACUGACGCUGAGGAGCGAAAGCGCGGGGAGCGAACAGG